UACGGGGGGGGCAAGCGUUGUUCGGAAUUACUGGGCGUAAAGGGCUCGUAGGCGGCCAACUAAGUCGGAUGUGAAAUCCCCAGGCUUAACCUGGGAACUGCAUCCGAUACUGGAUGGCUUGAAUCCGGGAGAGGGAUGCAGAAUUCCAGGUGUAGCGGUGAAAUGCGUAGAUAUCUGGAGGAAUACCGGUGGCGAAGGCGGCAUCCUGGACCGGCAUUGACGCUGAGGAGCGAAAGCUAGGGGAGCGAACGGG
rnacentral:rRNA from 1 species